CAGUAUGUUUCCUCAGUGUAAGGCGGUCCCAUACUUAAUUGAACCAGGUACGCACGGAAAGUGAGAUUCAGCCAGUGAAGAUGGUCAGCACAAGGACCCUUCCAGGCUCUCUCAUCACACUAGGAGUGAUCUACUGAGAUGCAUUAGAACCUACCCAUUGUGUUAUCCAGAGAGAAGCUGCAGACCAUCCUAGGGACGUACUCCUUCACUGGGCCAAAUGCAUUAGUAUAAUGACCUCGAUGGCCCUGUUCAGCACAUACUUCAAGUUAAGAUCAGAGAACACCAAACAUCCCUUUCUCACCACAUGUGGCUGUCCUUGCACAGAGCAUCUAAUGGAAACAUUGAAAAACAAUGAAGAUGUUUCUCACUUCAUGCCAUAUUAAAAGGCAAUAAUACAC